AAGUCGUAACAAGGUUUCCGUAGGUGAACCUGCGGAAGGAUCAUUAACAAAUCUUCUAUACCUUACCAUGUGUGAAUGUUAGCGUUGUCUUGGUUGGAAGUGAAGUGUGUGUGAUGGGGGUGGUUGGUGGCCUACGUGCCGCGCCUUCUCUACCUACACUCUGACCGACCGACCAGGACAACUGCACCCUUGACAUACAAUUUGAUUGUCAGAUGGUUAAGAUGAAACAUUGACAACUUUUAACAAUGGAUCUCUUGGCUCUU
rnacentral:misc_RNA from 1 species